GCAUAUCAAUAAGCGGAGGAAAAGAAACCAACAGGGAUUACCUCAGUAACGGCGAGUGAAGCGGUAACAGCUCAAAUUUGAAAUCUGGGCCCCUCGGGCCCCGAGUUGUAAUUUGUAGAAGAUGCUUCGGGUGCGGCACCGGUCUAAGUUCCUUGGAACAGGACGUCAGAGAGGGUGAGAAUCCCGUAUGUGAUCGGCUGCCCGCGCCCGUGUGAAGCUCUUUCGACGAGUCGAGUUGUUUGGGAAUGCAGCUCAAAAUGGGUGGUAAAUUUCAUCUAAAGCUAAAUAUUGGCCAGAGACCGAUAGCGCACAAGUAGAGUGAUCGAAAGAUGAAAAGCACUUUGGAAAGAGAGUUAAACAGUACGUGAAAUUGUUGAAAGGGAAGCGCUUGCGACCAGACUUGCGCGCGGUUGAUCAUCCGGGGUUCUCCCCGGUGCACUCGACCGCGCUCAGGCCAGCAUCGGUUCCGGUGGCUGGAUAAAGGCCCGGGGAAUGUAGCUUCUCUCGGGGAGUGUUAUAGCCCUGGGUGCAAUGCAGCCCACCGGGACCGAGGACCGCGCUCCGGCUAGGAUGCUGGCGUAAUGGUCGCAAGCGACCCGUCUUGAAACACGGACCAAGGAGUCUAACAUCUGUGCGAGUGUUUGGGUGCCAAACCCAUGCGCGUAAUGAAAGUGAACGGAGGUGAGAGCCCUGAAGGGCGCAUCACCGACCGGUCCUGAUGUCUUCGGAUGGAUCUGAGUAAGAGCAUAGCUGUUGGGACCCGAAAGAUGGUGAACUAUGCCUGAAUAGGGUGAAGCCAGAGGAAACUCUGGUGGAGGCUCGCAGCGGUUCUGACGUGCAAAUCGAUCGUCAAAUUUGGGUAUAGGGGCGAAAGACUAAUCGAACCAUCUAGUAGCUGGUUCCUG
rnacentral:rRNA from 1 species